ensembl:lncRNA
CAAAACCAAAAGAUGGAGAAUCUGACAAUUUUGCUAAAUGAGCAGAAGCUGCUGAGAAUUGUGCUGAGAAGAAGUGAAAAGGCUGAAAAUUUUGCAGAAAAGAGGUGAAUCAGCAGAAUUUCUGCAGAAAAGAGGUAAAGAAGCAAUAAGUUGCGCUGAAAAGAGAUGAAUCAGCAGAAUUUCUCCUCAAAGGCGGCUAUUCAUUUCCCUGAGCCAAAGUCAUUCUUACAAAGAAGAGGUGGAGAGACGGACAAUUCUGCUGAAAUGAGCAGAAGCUGCUGAGGAUUGUGCUGAUAAGAGGUGAAAAGGCUGAAACUUUUGCAGAAAAGAGGUGAAUCAGCAGAAUUUCUGCAGAAAAGAGGCAAAGAAGCAGAAACUUGCGCUGAAAAGAGAUGAAUCAGCAGAGUUUCUGCUCAAAAGAUUUGUCAUUUUUCUGAAUACAGCCAAAAAAGCUGGAAUUUGUGCUGAAAAGGGGUGAAAAAAAUGAAAAUUUUGCUGAAAAGGGGUGAAGAAGCUGAAGAAG